rnacentral:rRNA from 1 species
GACGAACGCUGGCGGCGUGCUUAACACAUGCAAGUCGAACGGUGAACGAGGGAGCUUGCUCCCUCCGGAUCAGUGGCGAACGGGUGAGUAACACGUGAGCAAUCUGCCCCGAACUCUGGGAUAAGCUUUGGAAACGACGUCUAAUACCGGAUACGACGCGGGAGGGCAUCCUCUCCUCGUGGAAAGAACUUCGGUUCGGGAUUAGCUCGCGGCCUAUCCGCUUGUUGGUGAGGUAACGGCUCACCAAGGCGACGACGGGUAGCCGGCCUGAGAGGGUGACCGGCCACACUGGGACUGAGACACGGCGCAGACUCCUACGGGAGGCAGCAGGGGGGAAUAUUGCACAAUGGGGGCAAGCCUGAUGCAGCAACGCCGCGUGAGGGACGACGGCCUUCGGGUUGUAAACCUCUUUUAGCAGGGAAGAAGCGAAAGUGACGGUACCUGCAGAAAAAGCACCGGCUAACUACGUG